rnacentral:lncRNA from 1 species
CUUUACAACGGACAUAGAACAGAUGUUCUAUUGUUUUUCAGUAAGGGAAGACGAUAGGAACUUCCUACGUUUUCUAUGGUUCCAAGAUAACGACCCCUCCAAAGACAUUGUGGAGUAUCGGAUGACGGUCCACGUCUUUGGAAAUAGUCCUUCACCCGCAUUAGCGAUUCAUGGACUGCAUCAGUCUGUUCAGGUCAGUGAGCUUCGCAUUGAUCCUGACGUCCAAAGUUUUGUGAUGCGUGACUUCUAUGUAGACGAUGGGUUGAAGUCCUUGCCCACAGUCGAAGCUGCAGUCAACCUGCUGAAAAAGACACAAGAUGUUCUCUCCAAAUCAAACCUAAGGCUGCACAAGAUCGCAGCAAACAACAAGGAGGUCAUGGAGGCCUUUCCGGCCGAAGAUCGUGCAAAAGACCUUAAAGACCUGGACCUCAGUGCAGAUACGCUGCCAAUGCAGCGUAGUCUUGGAAUCAAUUGGGACCUCCAGACCGACUGCUUCCACUUCAGCGUCUCCGACGAGAUAAAAUCCUACACUCGACGAGGUGUCUUGUCUACAAUCAACAGCCUCUACGAUCCUCUAGGGUUUGUAGCGCCAGUCACAAUACAAGGCAAGGCUAUUCUGAGAGAACUCACAACUGAAAAAGGUGACUGGGACUCGCCUUUGCCCCAAGAAAUGGAAGACGCAUGGACAUCUUGGAGAGCAUCUUUGAAAGAACUGUCCCAGCUUUCUAUUCCCAGAGCCUACACUACAACUUCACCCCCAGCAGCUGUCAGAAGGGAAUUGUGCGUCUUUUCUGACGCAUCCACGAAAGCUAUCGCCGCUGUGGCAUAGCUAAAAGUAACUGACUCUGCUGGAAAUAACCAUGUGGGAUUUGUAAUGGGCAAAGCCAAGCUGACCCCCCGUCCUGAACAAACAAUUCCGAGACUGGAACUUUGCGCAGCAGUGCUUGGAGUGGAGUUAGCAGACUUAAUCUCGGCAGAACUAGACCUUCAGCUCGAUGCUACAACCUUCCACUCAGACAGCAAGGUAGUCCUUGGCUACAUUUCUAAUGAAAGCAGGCGCUUUUAUGUAUAUGUAAGUAACCGGGUAUUACGUAUCCGAAGGUCCUCUCACCCAC